rnacentral:rRNA from 1 species
UACAGAGGGUGCAAGCGUUGUUCGGAAUUAUUGGGCGUAAAGCGCGUGUAGGCGGCUUUGCAAGUCGCGUGUGAAAGCCCCCGGCUCAACUGGGGAGGGUCACGCGAUACUGAUCGACUCGAAGGCAGGAGAGGGUAGUGGAAUUCCCGGUGUAGUGGUGAAAUGCGUAGAUAUCGGGAGGAACACCAGUGGCGAAGGCGACUACCUGGCCUGUUCUUGACGCUGAGGCGCGAAAGCUAGGGGAGCAAACGGG